ensembl:lncRNA
GGUAAGGCGUUCAAAACGCAGCGCAAUCGGAAGUUCGUCCUCUUUGCUUCAAUGCCAUCAGAGAGGAGAGGCAUAAUUAAGAGCUGUUGCAGAUAACAGUGCCUGUCUGUUUGCUUGUUUUACUACACAGGCACUACAAGUAAAUCCUCAUCAGUUAAAAACCAGCUUUGUGUGGACAAUCCUUUUAUUUAACAUCCCUAAAACACAACGCAGAGGAACAACCGCUACAAAACUGGUGCCGUGACCCGCCGACUGGUUGAUCGUUGUCGACCGCUGGGAUUGCUGACGUGGUGUGUGACUACCGAUGAGGGGGCUGGAGGUGCUUCUGUCAUCUGUUGCUGUUUCUUCGGUGGAGUUCGGACGUCUGACAGAUUGAACCGUGUCUAGGAGGAGACUGCUGACGUACUGUGUUGCAGAAAUUCAACGCUGAAGACGCAGGUGUGCGAAGUACAGACUGUUGAACUGGUGAUUUGUGUCUAAGGUGGAUCGAGUGAGCAGCGUGCUGGAUCAUCGAGGAGUGUCGCCGCCUAACUUGUUCUGACUGAACUGUAAAUGAAGGCAUAAUUAAGAGCUGUUGCAGAUAACAGUGCCUGUCUGUUUGCUUGUUUUACUACACAGGCACUACAAGUAAAUCCUCAUCAGUUAAAAACCAGCUUUGUGUGGACAAUCCUUUUAUUUAACAUCCCUAAAACACAACGCAG